rnacentral:rRNA from 1 species
UACGGAGGGGGCUAGCGUUGUUCGGAAUUACUGGGCGUAAAGCGCACGUAGGCGGAUUUGCCAGUCAGGGGUGAAAUCCCGGGGCUCAACCUCGGAACUGCCUUUGAUACAGCAAGUCUUGAGUUCGAGAGAGGUGGGUGGAAUUCCUAGUGUAGAGGUGAAAUUCGUAGAUAUUCGCAAGAACACCAGUGGCGAAGGCGGCUUACUGGCUCAUUUCUGACGCUGAGGUGCGAAAGC